GAUGAACGCUGGCGGCGUGCCUAAUACAUGCAAGUCGAGCGAACAGACGAGGAGCUUGCUCCUCUGACGUUAGCGGCGGACGGGUGAGUAACACGUGGAUAACCUACCUAUAAGACUGGGAUAACUUCGGGAAACCGGAGCUAAUACCGGAUAAUAUAUUGAACCGCAUGGUUCAAUAGUGAAAGACGGUUUUGCUGUCACUUAUAGAUGGAUCCGCGCCGCAUUAGCUAGUUGGUAAGGUAACGGCUUACCAAGGCAACGAUGCGCAGCCGACCUGAGAGGGUGAUCGGACACACUGGAACUGAGACACGGUCCAGACUCCUACGGGAGGCAGCAGUAGGGAAUCUUCCGCAAUGGGCGAAAGCCUGACGGAGCAACGCCGCGUGAGUGAUGAAGGUCUUCGGAUCGUAAAACUCUGUUAUUAGGGAAGAACAAAUGUGUAAGUAACUAUGCACGUCUUGACGGUACCUAAUCAGAAAGCCACGGCUAACUACGUG
rnacentral:rRNA from 1 species